rnacentral:rRNA from 1 species
UACGUAGGGUGCAAGCGUUAAUCGGAAUUACUGGGCGUAAAGCGUGCGCAGGCGGUUUUGUAAGUCUGUCGUGAAAUCCCCGGGCUCAACCUGGGAAUUGCGAUGGAGACUGCAAGGCUAGAAUCUGGCAGAGGGGGGUAGAAUUCCACGUGUAGCAGUGAAAUGCGUAGAGAUGUGGAGGAACGACCGAUGGCGAAGCAGCCCCCUGGGUCAAGAUUGACGCUCAUGCACGAAAGCGUGGGGAGCAAAC